CUUUCUUCCCUUUGCUGUGCCUCCACAGCUUGAGUCACAGGCUGCAUCCCGUCUUGAAGGCAUGAUCAUUAGUCAGGGAUGCAAGCCCAGCCUUUGCCUGGUUUUCCGUGGCUGGGGAGAGCUGUAUGCCGCCAUCGCUGGCUCUCUGUGAGCAUCUGGGGAGACCUCAGGGACAGCUCCAGCAACUUGCACAGCCCGGGUUCCUCUGGAGUUGUGCCUGAGCCCAAAGGCAGUGACAGCCAUAGUGGCAGCAGUGACAACAGGAGAAUCGGUGCUGGAAGCUGACAGAGGCUGUGCAGGGGAGACGGGAGGAGCUGUGUUGCGUGGAGACCAGAUGGAGUAGAGUGAGCCAGACCGGAGGCACGAGGAGUAGUGAGAAGGCUGCUGUGGGAGAGGGCGGAAGAUAUGAAGAGGACUUCCUCACAGAGAAUGCCAGCUCGUAAAGUAGGAGAACUAGCAAAAUCACCAUUUUACAACCCCGAUUAAGGUGAUGCUGGAGAAUUGGGGAAUGAAGUGUCUUGAUAUCGUCAACCUACUUUCAAAUGGCUCCAGAAAAUGUUUAAGAUGUUAAGGAGAGACUGUAACAGGAGUAACUCGCGGACUCUUCCGAUGAUUUCUACUGCCCUUGGAAACCUCCGUAUCACUCCUGCAAUUCCUAACACCUGAUUCUUCUCGUCUCAGAGCAAGAGGGGAGAAGAGCCUUGGCUCAAGGUUGAAGCGGGGCUGGGCAUGUCCUAGGAACACGGCUCCUCCGCGGGGAAUGCGCCUGAGAGCUGGGCUGUCAGUUGGCAGGGAUGUUGUUAUCAGCACUCUGCUGUUCAACUUCACUAUUUGUUCCAAAAAUGGUCAUUGUGAUAACUCAGAAUUAAAUCUCUGGCUGUCCCUUUAACCAUGUGGUUAGCGGCCUGAAUUGCUUAUCCCCAGAGCUGCCUGUGGGUCAUGGGGAGAAAAAACAAGGACAGUGUGUUUCCUUGACUCAGACAAGCUUGCUCCAGGCCAAUGUGGUGACACACUUGUCUCCCUUCCAUUAUCUGGGGCCUGACCCCAGCAUGACACAUUUCCCCGGCCUGAGGCUAGAGGUGUCAGACAGAUCCCGGCUCCAAACAGAAGGUCA
rnacentral:lncRNA from 1 species